UACAGAGGUCUCAAGCGUUUGUUCGGAUUCAUUGGGCGUAAAGGGUGCGUAGGCGGCGCGGUAAGUCGGGUGUGAAAUCUCGGAGCUUAACUCCGAAACUGCAUUCGAUACUGCCGUGCUUGAGGACUGGAGAGGAGAAUGGAAUUCCUGGUGUAGCGGUGAAAUGCGCAGAUAUCAGGAAGAACACCCCGUGGCGAAGGCGGUUCUCUGGGACAGUACUGACGCUGAGACGCGAAAGCGUGGGGGAGCGAACAGG
rnacentral:rRNA from 1 species